AAAUCGUACCCCAAACCGACACAGGUGGUCAGGUAGAGAAUACCAAGGCGCUUGAGAGAACUCGGGUGAAGGAACUAGGCAAAAUGGUGCCGUAACUUCGGGAGAAGGCACGCUGGUGUGUAGGUGAAGCCCCUGCGGGUGGAGCUGAGACCAGUCGAAGAUACCAGCUGGCUGCAACUGUUUAUUAAAAACACAGCACUGUGCAAACACGAAAGUGGACGUAUACGGUGUGACGCCUGCCCGGUGCCGGAAGGUUAAUUGAUGGGGUUAUCCGUAAGGAGAAGCUCUUGAUCGAAGCCCCGGUAAACGGCGGCCGUAACUAUAACGGUCCUAAGGUAGCGAAAUUCCUUGUCGGGUAAGUUCCGACCUGCACGAAUGGCGUAAUGAUGGCCAGGCUGUCUCCACCCGAGACUCAGUGAAAUUGAACUCGCUGUGAAGAUGCAGUGUACCCGCGGCAAGACGGAAAGACCCCGUGAACCUUUACUAUAGCUUGACACUGAACAUUGAGCCUUGAUGUGUAGGAUAGGUGGGAGGCUUUGAAGCGUGGACGCCAGUCUGCGUGGAGCCAACCUUGAAAUACCACCCUUUAAUGUUUGAUGUUCUAACGUUGGCCCCUUACCGGGGUUGCGGACAGUGUCUGGUGGGUAGUUUGACUGGGGCGGUCUCCUCCCAAAGCGUAACGGAGGAGCACGAAGGUUAGCUAAUCCUGGUCGGACAUCAGGAGGUUAGUGCAAUGGCAUAAGCUAGCUUGACUGCGAGCGUGACGGCGCGAGCAGGUGCGAAAGCAGGUCAUAGUGAUCCGGUGGUUCUGAAUGGAAGGGCCAUCGCUCAACGGAUAAAAGGUACUCCGGGGAUAACAGGCUGAUACCGCCCAAGAGUUCAUAUCGACGGCGGUGUUUGGCACCUCGAUGUCGGCUCAUCACAUCCUGGGGCUGAAGUAGGUCCCAAGGGUAUGGCUGUUCGCCAUUUAAAGUGGUACGCGAGCUGGGUUUAGAACGUCGUGAGACAGUUCGGUCCCUAUCUGCCGUGGGCGCUGGAGAAUUGAGGGGGGCUGCUCCUAGUACGAGAGGACCGGAGUGGACGCAUCACUGGUGUUCGGGUUGUCAUGCCAAUGGCACUGCCCGGUAGCUAAAUGCGGAAGAGAUAAGUGCUGAAAGCAUCUAAGCACGAAACUUGCCCCGAGAUGAGUUCUCCCUGAGACUUUAAGUCUCCUGAAGGAACGUUGAAGACGACGACGUUGAUAGGCCGGGUGUGUAAGCGCAGCGAUGCGUUGAGCUAACCGGUACUAAUGAACCGUGAGGCUUAACCUUACAACGCCGAAG
rnacentral:rRNA from 2 species